rnacentral:sRNA from 1 species
GCUGUGAGUUGCUGGCGCUGCAGGGAUUCGGUGGCACGUGGAGCUACGGCGUGGGAGUAGGGGGCUGAAGGCAGGCAGCAGCGGCCAGGGCCGCCCUCUGCUAGCUGCUUGGGUAUCGGGAUACCCCGCUUCUUCCUGUAGGUGUGGGACGUGCGUGCGGCGAGAUGGACACUCCCCCGCUCUCGGAUUCGGAAUCGGAAUCCGAUGAAUCCCUUGUCACAGACAGAGAGUUGCAGGAUGCGUUUUCCCGAGGGCUUCUGAAGCCAGGCCUCAAUGUCGUGCUAGAGGGGCCGAAGAAGGCCGUGAACGACGUGGUGAGCGCGGGCACAGGGUCGGGGGUACUUGGACAUGGGAUGCGCAUCAGGCGCUGUUGGGCUUGGGAGACCGAUUCUUGUCCCAGGAAAGAUGGACCCUGCGCCUCGCCAAGAGGGUCAAUUACCUGUCUGGGUAUUGGGGAUUAGCACUUUGUCCCUUCGCCUAACAGCCUGUGCUUGGGAAAGGCAAACUCAGAGUUCCCUUCUUGUGAGCUCAGUAUCUGGAUUUCCUAGAAUGGCCUGAAGCAAUGUUUGGCAGAAUUCAAGCGGGAUCUGGAGUGGGUUGAAAGGCUCGAUGUGACACUGGGUCCGGUGCCAGAGAUCGGUGGAUCUGAGGCGCCAGCACCUCAGAACAAGGACCAGAAAGCUGUUGAUCCAGAAGACGACUUCCAGCGAGAGAUGAGUUUGUAUGUUUGUUUUCAAAUGUUGGAGAAGUUGAGGAUCC